rnacentral:lncRNA from 1 species
UUUUAUCAUCACCCGUAUCUUCUCGCUCCCGUCUCUCUCUUACCCACAAAGUCACAAAUUAUAAGCACAAUCUACAGUUCUUUUGAUGCGAAAAGGAAAUAUCAAUGAAUGUGAUUAAACUUUAAAAUCUUUCACAUUAAACAGACAAUGAUGUGAUUCUAGACAAUCUUUACGUUUACUAAUGCAUUGCAUUUGCCAUUUUAGCUAAGGUACAAUAAAAAUUCUAAUGGUGCUUGUUCAAAUGAAUUCAGAACAUCUUUAAUUUCACCUUGAAUCAAACAUCACAAUGAACGAAUCCGGCUCUUGUCUACACCUACUUCUGUUCUUCAAUAACCCACGCUUAAAUCCACAAAAUUGAGAACCACCCGUAGCGAAUUUCACACGCGAACAUAUCUGUUUCGUUUGUUUUUCGGUGGAUUUCGAUGGAACUGGUAGAUUUAUGGCGAGAUGGGUUUGUUUUGGGUGUUUCUGUCACUAUUUUGUGUUUUCAGUCGUUUUCUGGCGGGAUUUGAUAGGAAAAAGAAGCAGGUGAUGAUUUGAAUUUAAAAGGUGAUUUUGCCGGAGUUAUUCCGAUGAAAUUUCGCCAGAGUUAUUCCGACGAAAUUUCGUCAGAGUUAUUCCGGCAAAAACGAAUCUGUUUCCUACUAUUUUUUUCCCGAUGGAGCUCCUCUCUCUGUUUUUCCCUCUCUCUCUCUUUUUCUUUCACUGUUUUUCCCCUCUCUCGCGUAUAGCUGUGUGUAGUAGUUUGUGUAUUGUGUGUGUUUUUCUGUGUGUAGUGUUGUAGAUGGUGAGUAUGGGUAUAGAGAGUUAAGUGAUGUGAAUGUAUCUGUG